AUCCUGGCUCAGGACGAACGCUGGCGGCGUGCCUAAUACAUGCAAGUCGAGCGGAUUGAUGGGAGCUUGCUCCCUGAUAUCAGCNGCGGACGGGUGAGUAACACGUGGGUAACCUGCCUGUAAGACUGGGAUAACUCCGGGAAACCGGGGCUAAUACCGGAUAACUCAUUUCCUCGCAUGAGGAAAUGUUGAAAGGUGGCUUUUAGCUACCACUUACAGAUGGACCCGCGGCGCAUUAGCUAGUUGGUGAGGUAACGGCUCACCAAGGCGACGAUGCGUAGCCGACCUGAGAGGGUGAUCGGCCACACUGGGACUGAGACACGGCCCAGACUCCUACGGGAGGCAGCAGUAGGGAAUCUUCCGCAAUGGACGAAAGUCUGACGGAGCAACGCCGCGUGAGUGAUGAAGGUUUUCGGAUCGUAAAGCUCUGUUGUUAGGGAAGAACAAGUGCCGUUCGAAUAGGGCGGCACCUUGACGGUACCUAACCAGAAAGCCACGGCUAACUACGUGCCAGCAGCCGCGGUAAUAC
rnacentral:rRNA from 1 species